rnacentral:rRNA from 1 species
UACAGAGGGUGCGAGCGUUAUUCGGAAUUACUGGGCUUAAAGAGUUCGUAGGCGGCAUGAAAAGUAGGGUGUGAAAGCCCUCGGCUCAACCGAGGAAUUGCGCUCUAAACUGUCGUGCUCGAGGAAUCUAGAGGUGAGCGGAACUGAUGGUGGAGCGGUGAAAUGCGUUGAUAUCAUCAGGAACACCGGAGGCGAAGGCGGCUCACUGGGGAGUUUCUGACGCUGAGGAACGAAAGCCAGGGGAGCGAACGGG